rnacentral:lncRNA from 1 species
AUUGAGGCUCAGGACUGACAACAGCCAGGGCUGUUCAUAGUACAUGCAAUGAACAGAUUGGAGCAACUGAGAGUAUGUGGGUACAUAGCUUUUUAUCUCAUGUGUCUGCUAAUUUCAUGGAGCUUUAAGAUGCUGCAGUCAUUCAUUGAGACAACAGUUCAAAGCUGCCAAUUUGAAGACAAAAUUUUGCUCAGUAGCAGAAGAAAAUGAAGAAUUCAAGGAUAAGUCUGAAGCAGAUUACAAGGACCCUGAAAAUCCUACAGAAAAUGAUAGCCUGCUGAUAUGAGCCUUUUAAUUUAAGUAAGAAAAGAAAUUAAGGUACAGAUUUUUCUCUCUGCCUGCUGUGUUAGUUCUAUUGAUUCUAGGUAGGCUACAUAUUAUGAAGCACCAUAACAGGUUUUAUAUAAUUACAGUAUUCAUCCCUUGUGUAGCAUAGCUUUUAGGGUUUGUGUCUUGAGUUUUAUCCUUUCACUUAUUUUUUUUUCUCCAGUGGUAUAAAUUUUGCAAACAUGAAAAGGCUGUGAAAUGUUUCAGACACAUCCUCAGUGUUCAUUUUGAGGAUAAUUAUUUGAUCAUUCCAGAGAGAUCCUAUAAUCCUUUCUAAUUCUUUGGAUUUCUGAACCAA